rnacentral:rRNA from 1 species
UGCAAGUCGAACGAGAGAUGAGGAGCUUGCUCUUCAAAUCGAGUGGCGAACGGGUGAGUAACGCGUGAGGAACCUGCCUCAAAGAGGGGGACAACAGUUGGAAACGACUGCUAAUACCGCAUAAGCCCACAGCUCGGCAUCGAGCAGAGGGAAAAGGAGUGAUCCGCUUUGGGAUGGCCUCGCGUCCGAUUAGCUAGUUGGUGAGGUAACGGCCCACCAAGGCGACGAUCGGUAGCCGGACUGAGAGGUUGAACGGCCACAUUGGGACUGAGACACGGCCCAGACUCCUACGGGAGGCAGCAGUGGGGAAUAUUGCACAAUGGGGGAAACCCUGAUGCAGCGACGCCGCGUGGAGGAAGAAGGUCUUCGGAUUGUAAACUCCUGUUGUUGAGGAAGAUAAUGACGGUACUCAACAAGGAAGUGACGGCUAACUACGUGCCAGCAGCCGCGGUAAAACGUAGGUCACAAGCGUUGUCCGGAAUUACUGGGUGUAAAGGGAGCGCAGGCGGGAGAACAAGUUGGAAGUGAAAUCCAUGGGCUCAACCCAUGAACUGCUUUCAAAACUGUUUUUCUUGAGUAGUGCAGAGGUAGGCGGAAUUCCCGGUGUAGCGGUGGAAUGCGUAGAUAUCGGGAGGAACACCAGUGGCGAAGGCGGCCUACUGGGCACCAACUGACGCUGAGGCUCGAAAGUGUGGGUAGCAGACAGGAUUAGAUACCCUGGUAGUCCACACCGUAAACGAUGAUUACUAGGUGUUGGAGGAUUGACCCCUUCAGUGCCGCAGUUAACACAAUAAGUAAUCCACCUGGGGAGUACGACCGCAAGGUUGAAACUCAAAGGAAUUGACGGGG